GGAGGCAUAGAUGUGAUUGAAACGUAUGUAUUUUGGAAUGGACAUGAACCUUCACCAGGCAAUGUGAGUGUCUUAUUUUAUAAAUAGAUCUUUCAUUUGACUUUUCAAACAAUAGAUAUCUGAAUAAAGUGUUGUAUGGAUAAAUGAUGUUUAUAUAUAUAUUUGAGAAAAUAAUGGGAGGUGGUAAUUGUAAUUCCACUUACGUUUUUUAUUCAUUCACUUAAGAAAAAUAAGGGGUAAAAAGGUCAAAUCACCUUUUAGUUUUUAAGUGAAUGAAUCAAAUACUUAAAUAUCAAUGGCACGUAGGAAAAAGAAACAUAGUUAGGACUUAAUGGUAUUUCCCUUACUUUCUGUAUCAAAUCAAAAAGAAACAUAGUCUUGUUUUGUUCCAAAAUGGUGACUAAUUGAUUAUUUAUUUUAUUUUUAUGUUUUUCUUGAUGAGGUUUUUUUUAGUACUAUUUUGGUGGAAGAUAUGAUUUAGCAAAAUUUGUGAAGAUAGUUCAAGAUGCUGGCAUGCUUUUGAUUCUCAGAAUUGGGCCAUUUGUUGCUGCAGAAUGGAACUUUGGGCAAGUCAAUGACAAUUUACUUCUAAAUUUAAUUAUUCAUAAGUUUAGUAUAAUGAUUUAAUUUUUUUUUUUUUUUUUAUAUAAUUCCUAUACAGUGGUAUACCUGUUUGGUUGCAUUAUGUGCCAGGGACAGUUUUCAGAACUGACAAUGAACCUUUUAAGGUGAGAAAAACGGUUAAUAUUAUCAUCUAAAGUGAUUAUUGUGAUUUGAAAUUAGGGGUAGAUUGGUCAUUUUUACAUUCAUUUUUUGGUUGAAUGCAAGAAACAGUUAUGUAAACACAUAUUAUUUGUGUAAAAUGCAGCAUUACAUGCAGAACUUCACAACACUGAUUGUGAAUAUGAUGAAAAAAGAAAAGUUUUUUGCUUCACAAGGAGGUCCCAUCAUCUUAGCUCAGGUAAGUAAGACUUUUUUUUUUUUUUUUUUUUAAAUUCUUUUUUACUUUUUCUUAAAAAAAUCAAUCAUCUUGAAAUUGGUUUUAGCAUACCACAAAGUUUCAAGCAACUCUGGUUUCAUUUGCUUAAAAAAGACAUAUUUAACAUUUAUACAAAACUUCUAACACACACAUAUCAGAAAGAUAUAACAAUUUGCAAAACUUUUAACAUCAUAUGUGAAUAUGUCAUGAAAUGAUACAAUAAUUGUGAUUUAAUAUUUUAUAGGUGGAAAAUGAGUAUGGAUACUAUGAAGCUGCAUAUGGUGAAGGAGGCAAAUCAUAUACUCAAUGGGCAGCUAAAAUGGCUCUUUCACAAAAUACAGGUGUACCUUGGAUAAUGUGUCAACAAUGGGAUGCUCCAGAUCCUGUGGUGAGGAUUUCAAACAUGAAAAUCGGGACCAAAAAUGAAAAAAUAUUCUUUUUUGGACCAAAAUUAAAGAAAAUCAUUACCUUAGGGACCAAAAUCGACAGUUCACUUUUAUUUUAUAACAAUUGGACUUGUGCAUAUGACCCGAAACGAGUCAUGAUUCAACAUGUAAUAAAAAUGAUUCUAUUUUGUAGUAAUGAUUAUUAGAAUAAAUAAUUAUGCAAAAUACCAUUAAUUUUUUUUUUUUUUGUUGUUGUUGGUUAUCCGGUUUUCAGAAAGGGCAAAAUACAUCAGACUUUUACCAUUUUAUUGAUUUAACCACUGGAUUUAUUAUAUUUGAUCAAUUUAGCUAAUAAUGAUUAAAAAGACUUGUUUGUAAUAUUUUUAUUACAGAUUAAUACAUGCAAUUCAUUUUAUUGUGAUGAUUUCAAACCAAGCUACUCAACAAUGCCCAAAAUCUGGACUGAGAAUUGGCCUGGAUGGUAUGUUUUCUACUCUUUUUUUUUUUUUUUUUUUUUUUUUUUUUUUUUUUUUUAUCAAUAAUAGUAACAUAUUUAUAUAUUAUUUUACCAAUAAUAACAAAAUUACUUAUAUAUAUUUGUGUGAUAGGUUUAAGACAUUUGGAGGAAGAGAUCCUCAUAGGCCAGCUGAAGAUGUUGCUUAUUCUGUUGCUCGAUUUUUCCAAAAAGGAGGAAGUGUUCAUAAUUAUUAUAUGGUAUUCUUUUUUUUUUAAUAAAUGUUAUAAAUAUAUAGCAUUUGUAAUUUCUCCAUGUGUUAAGUUUAUUUUAUUUAUAUAUUUUUUUUUAGUAUCAUGGUGGGACGAAUUUUGGACGUACUUCUGGUGGGCCAUUUAUCACCACAAGUUAUGAUUAUGAUGCACCAAUUGAUGAAUAUGGUUAGCCCAAUUAAACUUUUUUUUCUCUCAAAAUAGCAAUGUAUUUUAUUUUCAAUCCAUAAUAGGAAUGUUGUUGUGCUUUUUUUUCUUGAUAAUAGCAACCUACUUACAUUUCAUUACUAAUAUAGUAAUAUGCAAAAUGUACUUUAUAAGUAUGUUGUGAUUAUAGGUAAAGAAAUUUAAGUAGUUGUUAUUAUGGGUAAAAAACAAAUUACAUUUAAAAAGUUUAGAUUGCUAUUAUUGGUAAAGAAUGCAAGUAUAAUGCUUGAGAUUGCUAUUAUCAGUAAAGAAAUGUAAGUAUUUUACUAUUAUGAGUAAGAUAAAGAUUACAUUCCUAUUUUAUGUGAUUUUCACUUUAUAAAGUUUCUGAAUAAGUUCUAAAUAUUUUUUUUGGAUGGAUUUAGGGUUACCAAGGUAUCCAAAAUAUGGGCAUCUUAAGGAGCUUCAUAGAGCUAUAAAGUUGUGUGAACAAGCAUUAUUGAACAAUAAACCGACUUUGGUUCAUCUUGGUUCUCAACAAGAGGUGGAUUUUUAUCAUCCCUUUUUUCAUUCAUGCUCACUCAUCUCAUGAAAAUCACAAUGUUUUUAUUUUCCAAAGCUAAAAUUACCUAUUUGCCCUUUCUCACUAUUACAACAUAUUGAUGCUUCUGCUAAUCUUUCCGUAUUCCUUUUUUCUCAAUAAGUGUUGUCUAGAUUAAUGAUGUUUAUACGUUAUAUAAUACUUGAGAAUAUAACGACACACUUGGGGAAAUGGAAUGAAAAAACUAAGCAACAUAAGGGUAAAUUUGUAAAAAUUUAGGACUUUUAUGGGGAAAGCCUUCUUUCUCAAUAAAGUGGUUCUUUCUUUCUGCAUCUAGUAAAAAAGAAAGCUCCUAUACAUAAUUUUAUAAAUUUUCGUUUGUAAAUCUAGUAAUUCAUGUUUUGAACCUUAAACUUUCAGAUUUAAUUCACAAGAAUCCCCAAUUUCUUACUAUCUUAUCAUAUUUGAUGCGACUUUUUUCUUUUUAUUAGGCUGAUGUCUAUGAAGAUGAAUCAGGGACUUGUUCUGCCUUUAUUGCAAACUUAGAUGACAAAAAUGAAAAAACAGUACAAUUUCGGAAUGCUUCAUAUACACUUCCAGCAUGGUCAGUCAGCAUUCUUCCAGAUUGCAAAAAUGUAGUCUACAACACUGCAAAGGUAACUUCAUUUAUUUGUUUAUAAAAGCAUCCUACUUUCAUCCUUUUCCUAUUAAAGCAUUCUACUUUGAAAAAUCUACCCAAAUAUAUAAAAGUAGGAUGCUAUAAAAAAACAAAUCAUUGAAAGUACAUUGCUAUUUCUUGCAAAUAGGUUGGAUCUCAAACUUCCACCAUUGAAAUGAUCCCAGAGCAAUUGCAACCUUCAUCAGCUUCACCACAUAAAGAUUUGAAACCACUUAGUUGGGAAAUAUAUGUGGAAAAACCAGGGAUUUGGGGAGAAGCCGAUUUUACUAAAAAUGGUUUUGUGGAUCAUAUCAAUACAACCAAAGAUACAACCGAUUACCUUUGGU
rnacentral:lncRNA from 1 species